UACGGGGGGAGCAAGCGUUGUUCGGAUUUACUGGGCGUAAAGCGCACGUAGGCGGGUCGUUAAGUCAGGGGUGAAAUCCCGGAGCUCAACUCCGGAACUGCCUUUGAUACUGGCGACCUUGAGGCUGGAAGAGGUUAGUGGAAUUCCCAGUGUAGAGGUGAAAUUCGUAGAUAUUCGCAAGAACACCAGUGGCGAAGGCGGCUCACUGGCCCGGUACUGACGCUGAGGUGCGAAAGCGUGGGGAGCAAACAGG
rnacentral:rRNA from 1 species